rnacentral:rRNA from 1 species
ACUGCUUUUGUACGGAACGAAAAGGCUCUGGCUAAUACCUGGGGCUCAUGACGGUACCGUAAGAAUAAGCACCGGCUAACUACGUGCCAGCAGCCGCGGUAAUACGUAGGGUGUGAGCGUUAAUCGGAAUUACUGGGGGUAAAGCGUGCGCAGGCGGUUAUGUAAGAC